AAUGUUUUUAUUAUUAUUAUAGAAUUUUACUGGUUAAAUUAAAAAUGAAUAGAAAAGGUGAAUUAAGAGGAGAGAGGAGGUAAACAUUUUCUUCUAUUUUUUCAUAUUUUCAGGAUAAAUUAUUGUAAAAGUUUACAAGAUUUCCAUUUGACUAGUGUAAAUGAGGAAUAUUCUCUAGUAAGAUCAUUAUUUCAUCUACUUCUUUUAUCUUCUACCAGUAGAGGAAUAAACAAUAUUUAGCUCCUUUGUAAAUACAAAUUAAUUUUCGUUCUUGACAUCAUUCAAUUUU
rnacentral:sRNA from 1 species